GAUGAACGCUGACAGAAUGCUUAACACAUGCAAGUCGAGUGGCGGACGGGUGAGUAACGCGUAAAGAACUUGCCUCACGGAUAGGGACAACAUUUGGAAACGAAUGCUAAUAACUGAUACUGUGAGAGAGCUUUGCGUCCCAUUAGCUAGUUGGAGAGGUAACGGCUCACCAAGGCGAUGAUGGGUAGCCGGCCUGAGAGGGUGAUCGGCCACAAGGGGACUGGGACACGGCCCUUAGGCCAUCUGGAGGAAGCAGUGGAAGAUAUUGGACAAUGGGCCAAAGUCUGAUCCAGCAAUUCUGUGUGCACGAUGAAGUUUUCGGGAUGUAAGGUGCUUUGAGUUGGGAAGCGGUACCAACAGAAGAAGUGACGGCUAAAUACGUGCCAGCAGCCGCGGUAAUAC
rnacentral:rRNA from 1 species